AAACUUUCAACAACGGAUCUCUUGGUUCUGGCAUCGAUGAAGAACGCAGCGAAAUGCGAUAAGUAAUGUGAAUUGCAGAAUUCAGUGAAUCAUCGAAUCUUUGAACGCACAUUGCGCCCGGUGGUAUUCCGCCGGGCAUGCCUGUUCGAGCGUCAUUAUAACCAAUCAUGCCUGGCAUGGUGUUGGGGCACGCGGUCUCGCGGCCCUCAAAAUCAGUGGCGGUGCCGGUAGGCUCUAAGCGUAGUAAUUCUUCUCGCUACAGGGUCCUGCGGGUGGCUUGCCAGAACCCCCCAUUUUUUCAGGUUGACCUCGGAUCAGGUAGGGAUACCCGCUGAACUUAAGCAUAUCAAUAAGCGGAGGAAAAGAAACCAACAGGGAUUACCUCAGUAACGGCGAGUGAAGCGGUAACAGCUCAAAUUUGAAAGCUCCCCACAGGGCGCAUUGUAAUUUGUAGAGGAUGCUUUGGGGGUCGGCCCGGUUUAAGUUCCUUGGAACAGGACGUCAUAGAGGGUGAGAAUCCCGUAUGUGACCGGUGCUAGCCUUCGUGUAAAGCUCCUUCGACGAGUCGAGUUGUUUGGGAAUGCAGCUCAAAAUGGGUGGUAUAUUUCAUCUAAAGCUAAAUAUUGGCCAGAGACCGAUAGCGCACAAGUAGAGUGAUCGAAAGAUGAAAAGCACUUUGGAAAGAGAGUUAAACAGUACGUGAAAUUGUUGAAAGGGAAGCGCUUGCAAUC
rnacentral:rRNA from 1 species